rnacentral:rRNA from 1 species
AUUGAACGCUGGCGGCAGGCCUAACACAUGCAAGUCGAGCGGAGCGGCGGACGGGUGAGUAAUGCCUAGGAAUCUGCCUGGUAGUGGGGGAUAACGUCCGGAAACGGGCGCUAAUACCGCAUACUAUCAGAUGAGCCUCUGUCGGAUGAGCUAGUUGGUGGGGUAAAGGCCUACCAAGGCGACGAGCCGUAACUGGUCUGAGAGGAUGAUCAGUCACACUGGAAAUGAGACAAGGUCCAGACUCCUACGGGAGGCAGCAGUGGGGAAUAUUGGACAAUGGGCGAAAGCCUGAUCCAGCCAUGCCGCGUGUAUGAAGAAGGCCUUCGGGUUGUAAAGUACUUUCAGUCGGGAGGCGUUACCGACAGAAGAAGCACCGGCUAACUCCGUGCCAGCCGCCGCGGUAAUAC